UCCACGUUGGUUGUCGUUAGUGCUCCCUGCAGUAAGGUGGUAUUUGAGGUAAAUUUUAGAAGUGCCUAGACAAAACGUGCUGCUUGUUGUGUGCAGUGACCAUCCCAAACCCUCCGGACUCGUGUAACGCCAUUAGUUCGCCGUGUGUUUCGAGCGAUCCACCAGUGUCGUCAGUGAGUGCCCUAGUACAGCUCCCGUCCGAACUGCCUUUGUUCUGCCGAGCUGCCUGCCGGCGCUCUCGUCAAAAGUCUGGUACUGGGGCUUCGAAUUGUAGUGUUUGGAAGACUGUUGAAGGUUGUGCUUUUGUGGAGCUGGAGUUCAUCGGCAGUUCUACAGUGCUUGCGCCAGAGAAACGUCGGUGCUUCUGUACCUAUUAGACGAAGGAGCGUUUGCCAAGUCUUGAAAGGUAGACAUCGGUGACUGUGUAUACGUUGAAAAGGGCCUGCUGAAGAGGCUGUGCCUGGAUGCUAACAACUCAGGCUUUCACUUCGCGGAGAGCCUCCUUAAAGCUCCUUUUUCAAUAGAAGACGUUGAAGGGAGGUCCUUCCACUAGAAGACGUUGAAGGGUCCUUCCAAUAGAAGACGUUGAAGGUCCUUCCAAUAGAAGACGUUGAAGGGAUGCCUUCCACAGAAGGAUCCGUUGGAUUCCAAGAAGGUCAACACCAUAGUAGACUACACAACGCAACAUUUCAGCCUACUUCCAGGGCAGCUGGAGAACUCGUCCUCCUUACUAGCCCGGGGAUAUUAAAUGGAUGUGUUCAAGCACAAA